rnacentral:tRNA from 1 species
UCCCUGGUGACUCAGAUAGUAAAGAGUCUGCCUGCAAUGCAGGAGACCUGGGUUCAAUUCCUGAUUUGGGAA